GUUGAGUCUGGUACUUCCCAAUGACUAGUUGAACUGAACACACAGGUGUACGCAGUUCAGUGAACAGGUGAACUGGUGUUUUGCAUACAGGUGUUUUGCCUAGUUUUAAUUAUUCCCAUGUUUCCCCUGCCUUCUUAGUCCUGUAUUACAGCUGGUCUUUCCGCCCACAGUGUAUUUGCAGGCACCAAGAUGGCUCCGUCUAGAAGAUUUUGCUUCAGUUUUUCUUUGACCUUCAACUGACUGCUCUCAGUGCUUAUAGUUUGGAUCAAGGUGCAUGGAAUAGAAGAUUUUAUACUCAUAAGUUAUAGCCAACAGUGAACAUCUUCUGAUCUGUUCAUGGCUUACCACUGAUUGCUCUGUUUUUCAUCCUCUUUGUCUUGAGGAAAUCUGCCUAUUUAGCAGAUUCUGCAGAGACCCCGGGUGGCCCAGCCUGACUAGAGAAGCUCACAAAGUGACUCACAACACUGGAGGAGCUGCAGAAUUUUCCAGGCAAGGAUACUGGAGUGGGUCACCAUUUCCUGUUCCAGGGGAUCUUCCCACCCGAGGGAUCGAACCUGUGUUUCUUGUGUCUGCUGCAUUUGGCAGGCAGAUUCUUUACCAUUUACCCCUUGGGACGCCUGUGGUCAUUGUGUCGGCAGAUCUUUUACUUUUCUAAUGUGGUCUGUCUUGGUCUCUGUGGUGGAAGGGAUAUGCUUCAGCCUUGCUCCUGUGUUGCAGGAUUUUCUCAGCCAUGUAUUGUCCAAUAGUAGUUGUUACUUAUUCUUAUGAUGCGGAGAGGAAAUCAGGAAAGACUUAUCUUGGUGAUGCCACCUGUUAUUUAUAGGUAGUAAAAUUUGGUUUUUGUAUAUAGUAUUCUGUUAUUGAAUAUUAUUCUUUUGAUUUAUUUUAACCAUUUGUUAAUGUAAAAACUGAUCUUAGCUCA
ensembl:lncRNA